CGGCCACGGGGCGCAGCGGUGGGGAAUUUUGGACAAUGGGAGAGCCUGAUCAGCCAUCCCGCGUGUGCAUUGAAGGCCUUCAGGUUGUAAAGCACUUUUGGCAGGAAAAACGGCGCAGGAUAUUACGUGCAACUGACAGUACCUGCAGAAUAAGCACCGGCCACUUCCACGUGCCAGCGGCGCAGUAUACGUAGGGUGCAGAAAGCGUUAAUCGGAAUUACUGGGCGUAAAGCGUGCGCAGGCGGUUCGGAAAAGAAAGAUGUGAAAUCCCCAGAGCUUAACUUUGGAACUGCAUUUUUAACUACCGAGCUAGAGUGUGUCAGAGGAGUGGAGUUCGCGUGUAACAGUGAAAUGCGUAGAUAUGCGGAGGAACACCGAUGGCGAAGGCAGCCUCCUGGGAUAACACUGACGCUCAUGCACAGCGUGGGAGCAAACGGGAUUGGAAAUACCCCGGUAGU
rnacentral:misc_RNA from 1 species